GGAGUGUGUGAUGGACUCACCUCCACGUGGUGCACCCUGGGCAACGUAUUCUCAUACGGCAAAAAAGUCUAU
rfam:Hymenolepis nana genome assembly, scaffold: HNAJ_scaffold0002718